UGCCAAUGAUGCAUUUAUCUGCACAUAAUAUCAGACAUAUCAAUGAUGAUAUAUGCAAUUGUCACUACCUCUGAGGCA